rnacentral:rRNA from 1 species
GGCUCAGGAUGAACGCUGGCGGCGUGCCUAAUACAUGCAUGUCGAACGAAUCUCUUUUAGAGAUGAGUGGCGAACGGGUGAGUAAUACAUAGGUAACCUGCCCCUGUGCGGGGGAUAACAGGAGGAAACUCCUGCUAAUACCGCAUAGCCAUGAGCACCGCAUGGAGCUCAUGCCAAAUAUCCUUUCGGGGAUAGCGCAGGGAUGGACCUAUGGCGCAUUAGCUGGUUGGCGGGGCAACGGCCCACCAAGGCAACGAUGCGUAGCCGGCCUGAGAGGGCGGACGGCCACAUUGGGACUGAGACACGGCCCAGACUCCUACGGGAGGCAGCAGUAGGGAAUUUUCGGCAAUGGGGGAAACCCUGUCCGAGCAACGCCGCGUGAGCGAAGAAGGCCUUCGGGUCGUAAAGCUCUGUUGUAAAGGAAGAACGGCGCAUACAGGAAAUGGUAUGCGAGUGACAGUACUUUACCAGAAAGCCACGGCUAACUACGUGCCAGCAGCCGCGGUAAUACGUAGGUGGCGAGCGUUAUCCGGAAUCAUUGGGCGUAAAGAGGGAGCAGGCGGCCGCAAGGGUCUGUGGUGAAAGCCCGAAGCUAAACUUCGGUAAGCCAUGGAAACCGGGCGGCUAGAGUGCGGAAGAGGAUCGUGGAAUUCCAUGUGUAGCGGUGAAAUGCGUAGAUAUAUGGAGGAACACCAGUGGCGAAGGCGACGGUCUGGGCCGCAACUGACGCUCAUUCCCGAAAGCGUGGGGAGCAAAUAGGAUUAGAUACCCUAGUAGUCCACGCCGUAAACGAUGGUCACUAAGUGUCGGGGGUCAAACCCCGGUGCUGCAGUCAACGCAA